CCUACGGGAGGCAGCAGUGGGGAAUAUUGCACAAUGGGGGAAACCCUGAUGCAGCGACGCCGCGUGAAGGAAGAAGUAUUUCGGUAUGUAAAACUCUUUAAGUGGGGAAGAAGAAAGUGACUGUACACACAGAAUAAGCCUCGGCUAACUACGUGCCAGCAGCCGCGGUAAUACGUAGGAGGCAAGCGUUAUCCGGAAGGACUGGGCGUAAAGGGUGCUGAGGUGGUGUGACAAGUUAGUAGCGUAAUUCCGGGGCUCAACUUCGGAACUACUACUAAAACUGUUGGGCUUGAGUGCAGGAGAGGUGAAUGGAAGUACUAGUGUAGCGGUGGAAUGCGUAGAUAUUAGGAGGAACACCAGCGGCGAAGGCGAUUCACUGGACUGUAACUGACACUGAGGCACGAAAGCGUGGGGAGCAAACAGGAUUAGAUACCCGAGUAGUC
rnacentral:rRNA from 1 species